AUUGAACGCUGGCGGCAUGCCUUACACAUGCAAGUCGAACGGCAGCACGGGAGCAAUCCUGGUGGCGAGUGGCGAACGGGUGAGUAAAGUAUCGGAACGUGCCCAGUCGUGGGGGAUAACGUAGCGAAAGUUACGCUAAUACCGCAUACGAUCUAUGGAUGAAAGCGGGGGAUCGCAAGACCUCGCGCGAUUGGAACGGCCGAUAUCAGAUUAGGUAGUUGGUGGGGUAAAGGCUCACCAAGCCGACGAUCUGUGGCUGGUCUGAGAGGACGACCAGCCACACUGGGACUGAGACACGGCCCAGACUCCUACGGGAGGCAGCAGUGGGGAAUUUUGGACAAUGGGCGCAAGCCUGAUCCAGCCAUGCCGCGUGCAGGAUGAAGGCCUUCGGGUUGUAAACUGCUUUUGUACGGAACGAAAAGGUUUGACUUAAUACGUUGGACUCAUGACGGUACCGUAAGAAUAAGCACCGGCUAACUACGUGCCAGCAGCCGCCGCAG
rnacentral:rRNA from 1 species